AACGCACAUUGCGCCCUUUGGCAUUCCGAGGGGCAUGCCCGUUCGAGCGUCAUUAAACCCCCUCAAGCCUGGCUUGGUCUUGGGCGCCGGGGACCCCCCCGCGCCCCCAUGUCGCCGGCUGGCCGUCGUUGGACUUAGCGUUGUGACACAUGUCGCUGACGAACAACGACGGACCGCGCCGUGAGAACUCCCUUGGACGUCGUCCGACGUCCAGUACCGGUUGACCUCGGAUCGGGUAGGAAUACCCGCUGAACUUAA
rnacentral:misc_RNA from 1 species